rnacentral:rRNA from 1 species
UACGGAGGGUGCAAGCGUUAAUCGGAAUUACUGGGCGUAAAGCGCACGCAGGUGGCUGAGUCAGUCGAUUGUGAAAGCCCUGGGCUUAACCUGGGAAUUGCAGUCGAUACUACUCAGCUAGAGUAUGGGAGAGGGUAGUGGAAUUCCCGGUGUAGCGGUGAAAUGCGUAGAUAUCGGGAGGAACAUCAGUGGCGAAAGGCG